UUGAUUUCCUUCGGGACUGAUUAUUUUGUGACUGAGUGGCGGACGGGUGAGUAACGCGUGGGUAACCUGCCUUGUACAGGGGGAUAACAGUUGGAAACGGCUGCUAAUACCGCAUAAGCGCACAGCAUCGCAUGAUGCAGUGUGAAAAACUCCGGUGGUAUAAGAUGGACCCGCGUUGGAUUAGCUAGUUGGUGAGGUAACGGCCCACCAAGGCGACGAUCCAUAGCCGACCUGAGAGGGUGACCGGCCACAUUGGGACUGAGACACGGCCCAAACUCCUACGGGAGGCAGCAGUGGGGAAUAUUGCACAAUGGGCGAAAGCCUGAUGCAGCGACGCCGCGUGAGCGAAGAAGUAUUUCGGUAUGUAAAGCUCUAUCAGCAGGGAAGAUAAUGACGGUACCUGACUAAGAAGCACCGGCUAAAUACGUGCCAGCAGCCGCGGUAAUACGUAUGGUGCAAGCGUUAUCCGGAUUUACUGGGUGUAAAGGGAGCGCAGGCGGUGCGGCAAGUCUGAUGUGAAAGCCCGGGGCUCAACCCCGGUACUGCAUUGGAAACUGUCGUACUAGAGUGUCGGAGGGGUAAGCGGAAUUCCUAGUGUAGCGGUGAAAUGCGUAGAUAUUAGGAGGAACACCAGUGGCGAAGGCGGCUUACUGGACGAUAACUGACGCUGAGGCUCGAAAGCGUGGGGAGCAAACAGGAUUAGAUACCCUGGUAGUCCACGCCGUANACGAUGAAUACUAGGUGUUGGGAAGCAUUNCUUCUC
rnacentral:rRNA from 1 species